UUCCGGUUGAUCCUGCCAGAGGUUACUGCUAUCGAGGUUCGACUAAGCUAUGCGAGUCGAAUGUAGCAAUACAUGGCGUACUGCUCAGUAACACGUGGACAACCUGCCCUUAGGUCGGGUAUAAACCCGGGAAACUGGGUAUAAUCCCCGAUAGGUCUCGGCUGCUGGAAUGCAUCGAGAUUGAAAGCUCCGGCGCCUAAGGAUGGGUCUGCGGCCUAUCAGGUAGUAGUGGGUGUAACGUACCUACUAGCCUACGACGGGUACGGGUUGUGAGAGCAAGAGCCCGGAGAUGGAUUCUGAGACACGAAUCCAGGUCCUACGGGGUGCAGCAGGCGCGAAAACUUUACAAUGCUGGCAACAGCGAUAAGGGAACCUCGAGUGCCAGGUUACAAAUCUGGCUGUCGAGAUGCCUAAAAAGCAUUUCAUAGCAAGGGCCGGGCAAGACCGGUGCCAGCCGCUGCGGUAACACCGGCGGCUCGAGUGGUAACCGUUAUUAUUGGGUCUAAAGGGUCUGUAGCCGGCCGGAUAAGUCUCUUGAGAAAUCUGGCAGCUUAACUGUCAGGCUUUCAGGAGAUACUGUCUGGCUCGAGGCCGGGAGAGGUGAGAGGUACUUCAGGGGUAGGGGUGAAAUCUUGUAAUCCUUGAAGGACCACCAGUGGCGAAGGCGUCUCACCAGAACGGACCUGACGGCAAGGGACGAAAGCUAGGGGCACGAACCGGAUUAGAUACCCGGGUAGUCCUAGCCGUAAACGAUGCCCGCUAGGUGUCACGACGGUCGUGAAUCGUCGUGGUGCCGUAGGGAAGCCGCGAAGCGGGCCACUUGGGAAGUACGGCCGCAAGGCUGAAACUUAAAGGAAUUGGCGGG
rnacentral:rRNA from 1 species